ACUCUAUGAACUUGCUAUUUCUUUUGUCCAUGAAGUCCUGUUUUUUUUCGUUUUACUGGCUAGCUCCUACAAAACAUUCCUCUGGAAGUUCUACUGUCUUUCUUGAUAAUCAAACUGCUGAUGGUGCUGACCCUAUUCACUGCUACCAGUGGGUUACAGACAGCAGUGUUGGCUGCCCAGAUGAGCCAGGGAAGAGUUUUGUGAUGCAGGGUGGAAGCCUUGCAGAUUCAGCACAGCUGUGGAUGAGUGAGCUGGAGUUUAUUCUCUUUGCAGAACCUUUCCAUCUGUUCUGAAUUGUGCCAAUGGUGCCCUGUUCCCCUGUGCUUGUCAUUUGGGCUGAACCCAUUCCGAUGUUUUGCGUAUCAUCAAGGAGUGCUGACAGUUUUGUUUCAAAAGUGGAUGGGAGCUGUAGGUUUAUAUGUCUUCACAGCAAGUCACUUGAACUCAGAGGAAAUAAAGGUAAUACCUCUCUACUGGAAAUGUAAGAUUUUCUUUUUUUGUUUGUUUUAAAUUGUGAUUUUUCUUUGGUUUAUUUCAAUUUUAUUACCCUAAAGCUUCGUUUGAUAAGUAGCAAAUAACAUGAAAAACUGUUAAAACGUAUAUUGAGUUUUAAGACAUUUGUCUUCCUUGCCAAAUUUGUUUCACCGUCGUAAAGAAGGGCCAUCGGUGUAAAGAAAAGAAAUGGCUGGAGUUAAAUCUUGAUUACAAUUUUGAGUGAUUUUGACAAUAAAUCAAGUCCUCUAAGUCUUUGCAGACAAUUUCUAUGGUGGACGUCUUCAGUGAAUGUACUCUUUCCGAAGUUAAGCAUCCUACUUCUCAGAUGUCUCUCUUAUCUCAUGACUAUUUCUGAAAAUCCAUGGGUUUUUAAACAGUGUCCUAGACCUUGAAUGCCUCUCCUUAUGUAAAGUAACCUGAAGCACUGAUCCUGAAGGAACAGUCUGUAUAGAUUAAUGGAUUUCCUGAGUACUUACAUAGUGUUCAAUUAUAGAUUAGUAUUAGUUGAUGGACACAUUGGAGUGUGUUGUUGUGAUUUUGGCAGUUUUGUGUGGUUCUGUGUUUCCCUCUCCAAGGAGAAAAGCCAGUAACGGUAAUUUUAAAAAGGAAUCACUUUUUUUUUGUUUUGAUAGCACAUAAACAUUUAUGUAGGUAAUGAGCUCCCCAAAUAUAAAAAAGGUCUUAAUUUAGCAACCUGUCACGUAUAUGAGUGCAGUCUUUGAUGUUAUAAUUUAUUCAUUUCUUGGCUCACAGUGAGUCACUUAAGGUAUCAUUGAUGGACUUUCCAUUAGAACUUCCGCCUUUUGCCCUUCAUCCUGUUUGCUCUGGGCUCUUAUUUGGGGUGAUAGCAGUAGAGAUGUUCCCUUGGCAUGGGAGCAAAGGUUUUUUCAAGAAUGCUCUCAAUCACCAAGUUUUUAUCUUGUUCCUUUACAAUGCAGUAAUUUUAUUUUCACUGUAGCAUAGUAGUACAGGCUUCCAGCCACGCUGGUAGUUGCAGCUAGCACUGCAUGAUCCUUUUUUUACCCCAAACGUUUGAGCAUGUGCUGCUACCAGAAUAUAGCCCUGGUCCUGCUAACUAGUACAGAGUAAAGUGGUCUCGUCCCUUAGACACACUGGAAAAUCCCAAUGACUUAAAAAUGUUUUUCCUCUGAUCUCUAAUUUGAAAAAUACCUGGAAGUCUUUGAUUUUUUUUUUUUUGGUUCAUCUUUUUGUUAGCCUUAAUUUUCUUUCCAUUGUGUUGGUCAAGAGAAUUGAUCUUCAUUCAAGACAUUUGGUUUUUUGUGAAUUAUGCAGUAGGGCAUGUGCUAUAUGGUUUCUGCUUUCUAAAUAUAGAUUAUAAAUAAUUGUACUGUUGUUCUGUGCACUCAGAGGUUUAAAUGGCUAGAACUGCAUAUUUAAAAAUACACAUUGAGGGAAUCUUUGAUAUGUAGCUGUAGGAAAAUCUACCUUUUUUCCAUUAUUUUUGAAAGGACGGUAAGGGUCAUAUUGUAAAGCACAUGUAACACCCAAUGACUUUGUCUGGAACUGCAGAUGCUCAGCACUUUGUUGUAAUCAGCCCUGUGUCUCCUGAUAAUUAUACCCUUGAGGCUUUCUGGUCUCAAUUUUUCCAUAACUGAUAUAAUCCAAACUAUAUUAUCCUAUUAGGAGACUCAUUUUUUCCUCCAACAAGCAGCACGCACCUGUCUGCUUAGCAGGAAGAAAACAGUGACAGUGUUCUCCCUCUAUUGUUUCAGCGUUAAAGGAGAUAAUUCAGGCUGUAAAUUGGGAAGACAGAGCUUGUUGAGUUAAAAUAAGCACAUUAAUUCUUGAGUGGAGCCCUGCUGUAUGCUUUUGUUCCUUCAUUAUUCAUUUUAUGUAUCUGGGCUCUCUCUGUAGUGCAUGGGGAGAGAGUACUCUUUAGAGUACCUAUCCCAGGUCUCUGUUUGGAAUAAACACACUGCUUCUCUUCACCAGCUCAGGGACACAGUCCUGGAGCUCAGUGGUGUGCACAUCGCCACUUAGGCACGUCAGCUAGUUGGCACAUUCAUGGUAGAGGGAAAAGAUGACAUUAAAGAGGAACUGAGAUGAUUUAAGAAGUGCUUCUACAUUAAAAUAAGUAAUGAAUUACCAGUCAGGCAUAAUGCCAGGUUUGAGCUGAUGGGAACUCUCAUUACAAGUAUAUAUAAAUGCAGCUGUGUUGUCAAAACUUUGAGCUGUCACACAGUCUUUCAAACACAGAAGACUGUAACAACAAAGCAUUUCUUUUUCCCUCCUUUCCCACCUCCAAGAUUAAGUUCUUUCUGUUACUUCAGAGCCAGGCAGAUUGAAGAUUUCUGUAGUAUUUCCAUCUACGUUAUACCAAGUUAACUUGCAAAGAGAAGUGAUACUUGUCAGAAUUCAGCCACCUGAAAACUUUGAGAAGCGAAAGUGUUGUUUUUAGCUGUAGAAGCUUUCUGACACGAUGUGUAGCACAGAGCAAAUGGUGUUCAGGUUUUCACAGAAGGUGUAACCACAGAAGCCAUUGGAAGUACUUCCCUUCCUGCUGGGAAGUACUCCUCAGAAGAACCUUCUUAUUUUUCGUGUUCUUAAAUAUCAGUCUCUGUUUGAAGAGCUGAAACUUUUGGUAUAUUUUUGUGUGCCACCCACAAAAGAGCAUGUGCAUGCUGCUUGUGUGUCCUAUUCACAGAGACACUCAGUAUUCCGAAUGAAGGCUAUCAUUUGGGGGUAAAACGUCUCAGACUUCAAGCUCAAAAUUUCCCUUUCCCUUCUUUUAUUAUCCCUUUUCCAUUUUGCUUCCUUAUUAUUUCAGCUUAAUAGAAAUGCAGGUUGAUGGACAGGAGAAGAAGCCUUCAGAAAUGUCUUUCAAAACCAAUAUUGCUUUGAACCUAUGGUAGAUGGCAGAUACCCCUGAGCAGAGGACGGUUCAUAUAUAUCUCCUCUGGCUGUUAUUCCUCAGUGUGAGGAAAACAGAUUACAGCUGAGAUGCUCUGUGUUCCUGUCUAUCAACAUGACAGUGACAGCAGGCAGCUCAUGAUAAACUCCCUCUUGCAUAAUGAAACAUUGACGGUGAGUGUCCCUUCAUUAUAGCCCUGCCAAGACUGGCAGAUUUCUGAAAUUAUUCCCUUGUUCAACUACCCCUGGUGCAAUAGCACAGAUGUGAAUGCUACUUUGAAAGUGCUUCCACUUCAUCUCCUACUCUCACCAUCUGUGCUAAUGAAGCUUUAGUUAGAGCAGCGGCAUAACUCUAGAUGAAGAGGUAAACCACUGUGUUGGCUUAAAGAGGGAAAGCCCUCGGUGGUAUUAGCAUUUGGUGAUGAAGCGUUAUCACUAACUGCACUGUUGCUGCCACAGUCUAUGCUGUGAAUGGAAGGAGCCACUGAGUGGUUUGAAAAUUCAUGCUAAAAGUUUAAAAACUUUGAGUUUAUUCCAUGGAAAACUAAACCCAAACCUCCUCCUGUUCUCAUUGGAUCCAUCAGCUGAUGUGCAGUUUUUUACAUUGGUCUUCAGCAAGCAUCGCAAAGGUAAGUUUUUCCAAGUUUUUCUUACUCUAUCUAUUUCCAUGAGAUUAUAGAAGAAUCGUAGAAUCACUAGGUUGAAAAAGACCUCUUAGAUCAUUGAGUCCAAACAUUCCUAUCUGCCACUAAACCAUGCCCCUGAGCAUCUGGUCCACCUGUCUUUUAAAUACCUCUAGAGAUGGUGACUCAACCACCUCCCUGGGCAGCCUCUGCCAGUGUCUGAUGACCCUUUCUGUCCAGCCUGACCCUCCGCUGGUGCAGCUUGAGGCUAUUCCCCCUUGUCGUGUCCCCUGUCACUUGGGAGAAGAGCCCAGCUCCCUCCUCUCCACAACCUCCUUUCAGGUAGUUGUAGAGAGCAAUAAGGUCUCCCCUCAGCCUCCUCUUCUCAAGGCUAAACAACCCCAGUUCCCUCAGCUGCUCCUCAUAAGACUUGUUCUCAGCACACUCUUAAUAAGUGAUCCUGAAUUAUGUCUAUUUUGUUUUUUUUUUUUUUUCUUUCUCACAGAUCAGUGUCCCAGAACCAUGUAAAGCGACCCUGUUGCUUGUUGGCCAAGUCUGUUGUGAGGCUUGGUUUUACAGACCUGGGUUGUGUCUGCUACAUAGUUGACAUGACAU